rnacentral:rRNA from 1 species
UACAGAGACCUCAAGCGUUAUCCGGAUUUAUUGGGCGUAAAGGGUCCGUAGGUGGCUUUUUAAGUCAUUCGUUAAAUCUUCAGGCUCAACCUGAAGGCCGCGGGUGAUACUGGAAGGCUAGAGGGUGGGAGAGGCAGAUGGAAUUGCUGGUGUAGCGGUAAAAUGCGUUAAUAUCAGCAAGAACACCAAAGGCGAAAGCAAUCUGCUGGAACACUCCUGACACUGAGGGACGAAAGCGUGGGUAGCGAAUCGG